rnacentral:rRNA from 1 species
GUGAGGAAUAUUGGACAAUGGGCGCAAGCCUGAUCCAGCUAUGCCGCGUGCAGGAAGACGCAUCUAUGGUGUGUAAACUGCUUUUGUACGGGAAGAAACACUCCCUCGUGAGGGAGCUUGACGGUACCGUAAGAAUAAGGAUCGGCUAACUCCGUGCCAGCAGCCGCGGUAAUACGGAGGAUCCAAGCGUUAUCCGGAAUCAUUGGGUUUAAAGGGUCCGUAGGCGGUUUAAUAAGUCAGUGAUGAAAGACCAUCGCUCAACGAUGGAACGGCCAUUGAUACUGUUAGACAUGAAUUACAAGGAAGUAACUAGAAUAUGUAGUGUAGCGGUGGAAUGCUUAGAUAUUACAUGGAAUACCAAUUGCGAAGGCAGGUUACUACUUGUGGAUUGACGCUGAUGGACGAAAGCGUGGGGAGCGAACAGGAUUAGAAACCCCAGUAGUCC